GGACGGGUGAGUAACGCGUGGGUAACCUGCCUUAUACAGGGGGAUAACAGUCAGAAAUGGCUGCUAAUACCGCAUAAGCGCACAGAGCUGCAUGGCUCAGUGUGAAAAACUCCGGUGGUAUAAGAUGGACCCGCGUUGGAUUAGCUGGUUGGUGGGGUAACGGCCCACCAAGGCGACGAUCCAUAGCCGGCCUGAGAGGGUGAACGGCCACAUUGGGACUGAGACACGGCCCAGACUCCUACGGAGGCAGAUG
rnacentral:rRNA from 1 species